rnacentral:rRNA from 1 species
UACGGGGGGGGCGAGCGUUGUUCGGAAUUACUGGGCGUAAAGGGCGCGUAGGCGGUUUCAGAAGUUUUGGGUGAAAGCCCCCGGCUCAACCGGGGAAGUGCCUGGAAAACCAUGGGACUGGAGUGCUGGAGAGGCAAGCGGAAUUUCUGGUGUAGCGGUGAAAUGCGUAGAUAUCAGAAGGAACAUCCGAGGCGAAGGCGGCUUGCGGGACAGACACUGACGAUGAGGCGCGAAAGCUAGGGGAGCAAACGGG